UACGAAGGGGGCUAGCGUUGCUCGGAAUCACUGGGCGUAAAGCGCACGUAGGCGGAUUGCUAAGUCAGGGGUGAAAUCCUGGAGCUCAACUCCAGAACUGCCUUUGAUACUGGCGAUCUUGAGUCCGGGAGAGGUGAGUGGAACUGCGAGUGUAGAGGUGAAAUUCGUAGAUAUUCGCAAGAACACCAGUGGCGAAGGUGGCUCACUGGCCUGGUACUGACGCUGAGGUGCGAAAGCGUGGGGAGCAAACAGG
rnacentral:rRNA from 1 species